GAACGCUUGUGCAUGUAGAUCCAGCAUGGAUCUAGUAAAAUCAUGUCGAAAAACACCAUGGACCCAUGGAAUUGCAUGAUUGGCCACCGCAUGCAAGUCUUCUUCUCCUGGCAGAUCCACCGCAAGUCACAUUCUUUAUUGGUUGUGCAUCGUGUCCCUUUAUUUUCAAGAUUUAUGCUGCUAUCAGUCACAUAGAUCCGGUUACAACACACACUAGACCU
rnacentral:lncRNA from 1 species